UGUUAGUCAAAACAUUCAUAAAGGUGUUUAAUUGUAACCGUCAACCUCAUGUUUGAAAUGUAAUUGCCUGAUCAAUACAUCAUCAAUACAUCAUUACAAAAAAGAAAAAUGUAUAAGAGGCUAAGUGGCAUCUUCCAGCUCCUCUCCAACACUCACCUCUAUCAUUGCUGGUGGAGGCACCACUGCUGCAUCCUGCAGUGGAUCUAGAACCUGUGGCUCUGGAUCUGUUGUUGGCACCUGUUCCUGCGGGGAUUGGGAGUUGCAGCUUUACUGACCAUUUACUCGCUCUCCUCUAGGGCUACACCCUUUCCCUAGAGCAGUGGUGGAAAUCCUCCAUGCCAGGAGCAACAAUGGCAAGACUGUAGAAAGGCAUUUCAUCAAGCUCCGAAUCUGCUGCUGGUGCCUAUUCCUGCGGGGAUUGUUGUGGUGAUUGAGCCGGAGAUCUCUGAGUGGGAGAUUUGGGAGCUACAGCUUCACUGGCCAUUUAUUCGAGCGCAUCACUCUCUUGCCCUUUCCCUAAAGCACCGGUGCUCCACGUCAAGAGCGACAGUGGCAAUUUCUA
rnacentral:lncRNA from 1 species